rnacentral:rRNA from 1 species
AACGAACGCUGGCGGCAGGCCUAACACAUGCAAGUCGAGCGAGACCUUCGGGUCUAGCGGCGGACGGGUGAGUAACGCGUGGGAACGUGCCCUUUUCUACGGAAUAGCCUCGGGAAACUGAGCGUAAUACCGUAUACGCCCUUUGGGGGAAAGAUUUAUCGGAGAAGGAUCGGCCCGGGUUGGAUUAGGUAGUUGGUGGGGUAAUGGCCUACCAAGCCUACGAUCCAUAGCUGGUUUGAGAGGAUGAUCAGCCACACUGGGACUGAGACACGGCCCAGACUCAGGCGGGAGGGGGGAGUGGGGAAUUUUAGACAAGGGGGGCACCGCUGAUCUACCCAUGCGGGGUGAGGGAUGAAGGCGUGAGGGUUGUAAAGCUUUUGCAGCUGGAAAGAUAAGGAAGGUACAAGAAGAAGAAGCCCCGGCUACCUC